UACGUAGGGUGCGAGCGUUGUCCGGAUUUAUUGGGCGUAAAGGGCUCGUAGGCGGCUUGUCGCGUCGGGAGUGAAAGCCCGCUGCUUAACGGCGGGUUUGCUUUCGGUACGGGCAGGCUGGGGUACGGCAGGGGAGACUGGAAUUCCUGGUGUAGCGGUGGAAUGCGCAGAUAUCAGGAGGAACACCGGUGGCGAAGGCGGGUCUCUGGGCCGUUACUGACGCUGAGGAGCGAAAGCGUGGGGAGCGAACAGG
rnacentral:rRNA from 1 species